rnacentral:rRNA from 1 species
GACGAACGCUGGCGGCGUGCUUAACACAUGCGAGUCGAACGGAAAGGCCCUGCUUUUGUGGGGUGCUCGAGUGGCGAACGGGUGAGUAACACGUGAGUAACCUGCCCUUGACUUUGGGAUAACUUCAGGAAACUGGGGCUAAUACCGGAUAGGAGCUCCUGCUGCAUGGUGGGGGUUGGAAAGUUUCGGCGGUUGGGGAUGGACUCGCGGCUUAUCAGCUUGUUGGUGGGGUAGUGGCUUACCAAGGCUUUGACGGGUAGCCGGCCUGAGAGGGUGACCGGCCACAUUGGGACUGAGAUACGGCCCAGACUCCUACGGGAGGCAGCAGUGGGGAAUAUUGCACAAUGGGCGGAAGCCUGAUGCAGCAACGCCGCGUGCGGGAUGACGGCCUUCGGGCUGUAAACCGCUUUCGCCUGUGACGAAGCGUGAGUGACGGUAAUGGGUAAAGAAGUACCGGCUAACUACGUG